rnacentral:lncRNA from 1 species
UAAAAGAAAAUUUGUUUUUAGUAUUAUAUUGUGGCUAAUAAAGCGCUAAAAAGUCCCAUUUUAUAUACAGUCCAGUCAGUUGCAACAACAAUUAAAGCAGCAGGAAACAACCAAGUACACAUGCAAGUGACAAAGAGGAUUGCAAAAGUUUUAAAUAUCAGAAACUGAAGAAGGAAUUGAUAAUUAGCAGAUAACAAAAAAGCGCAAAAGUACUGAUUAUACAACUCUUUUAAAGUUGAGGAAGAAUUUUAUGUGGAAUGUUAAUGCAAAAGGUACGAAUAUUGUCAGUUAAACCAUCACCACCUCCACAGCCACCUUAUCUUAAGCAUUCAAUUGCAUUCUAAGUUAUCUUUAUUCAAAUCAAGUGUGACUACUAUACCAAAAGACUGUAGAAUGGACCAAUCAACUAACCCAUCAGUACUUGCAAAGUCUUCUUUUCUGUAAGCCCGAAAUUUGAGUUCUAAAAUACCAUUAUCCACAUAACUACUAUAUCAAAGCACAAACUAAUGGAUUGAUCAAGUAAUACUUAAUUUUUACCUUGAGUUGCGUGUUAG